GUCCCGGUAGUUCAAUGGAUAGAACAAUUUCCUCCUAAGAAAUAGAUACAGGUUCGAUUCCUGUCCGGGAUACCA
rnacentral:tRNA from 5 species